rnacentral:rRNA from 1 species
UACGUAGGGAGCAAGCGUUGUCCGGAUUCACUGGGUGUAAAGGGUGCGUAGGCGGGAGAAUAAGUCAGCGGUGAAAUCUUACGGCUCAACCGUGAAACUGCCGUUGAUACUGUUUUUCUUGAGUUCGGGAGAGGUUGAUGGAAUUCCAGGUGUAGCGGUGAAAUGCGUAGAUAUCUGGAGGAACACCGAUGGCGAAGGCAGCCCCCUGGGUCAAGACUGACGCUCAUGCACGAAAGCGUGGGGAGCAAACAGG